ensembl:lncRNA
AGGGUGGCUUUGAAGAACUAACUUACCCAGGGAAUGUCUCCUGAAGCUGUCUGCACAGGAAAUAAGCACAAAGGGAGAGGGAGGAGAAAGAAACCUGCAAUGGAUUUAGUUUAUUCUCAACUGACACAUCACGGGAAACAUUCGGAGUAGGAGGUGGGAGUUUUCCCUUCUCUGCUUCCUCUGUAACCUGCCUUUAUUUUGCUAAGAGAAGGCUUUUUUGCUCACUUUUCCUUGAUCACCAUCAGGCUCUGCUUUAAGCCAGAGACUUGUUUCCACUCCACUUUCUAGAGCUGCAGAGAUGUUGACUUUUAGAGCUGGGAGAGGACUAAUCAAUUGUUGACAGGGCUUUCUCAUUUUCUGGAGGGCAGGCGGCCUCUCAUCUAUUUCAGAUCUUCCAUUAGGGAUUUUCAACUAAAGCAGGACUGCAGAAUUCUAUUUAUGCUCCCAACCAGAGCCCUGAGAGGGGGAUUUCUGAGCUGGGACGGUGCUUUCUAAGCUUGAGGCAAUAUUUGAAUGACCAAGGACACCUAAGCAGCAAUGAGGUGUCUGUAGGGAUGGUGAGGGGACAUUUGGGGGCCCCUCACAUGCAUUUCAUAACGCUCUUUACUUUUCAGACUGUCUGCACAGCUCACCUCCUCCUAUACCACAAAUAAGGGAAGGCAAAUAUUUUUCUCACUUAAAAAAAAUGGAAUCUUUGGGAGGUGAAAUAAUUUGCCAAAGGCGGUCCAUCACGGUAGCGCAGGACUGGGAUUCAGCUUUCCACAGGUGUAUCUGCAGUAUCCGUCCCUGUUCCUGGCACCAAGCUCCCAGGGAAUUUCCUGAGUGGAGAGCCAGGAGGGUGUCUUUUGUUAUGCUAAUGAGGUGACUUGUGGAAAGCACCUGAGGUUGAGGGCUGGUUGCCAGGGGAACCAACCGAGUGAUCGAUGGGUUGGAACUUUCAAUCCCAUAUCCAUCCAGGAAGAGGAGAGGGGCUAGAGGUUGAAUCGGUGGCCAGUCAUUUAAUCAAUUGUGCCUACCUCAUGAGACUCUGUACAAACCCCAAAGGACAGGGCUCGGGGUCUUAGAGCCCAGGUGGGAGAACACAGGGAGACGGAGGGAGAGUGGUGUGCUCAGGGCACAGGGAAGAUCCCUGCCCUUUCCCCAGACCUUGCUGUAUGCCUCUCUUCCAUCUAGCUGUUCCUGAAUUAUAUCCUUUGUAAUAAACCGGUCAUCUAGUAAGUAAAAUGUUUCUCUGAGUUCUGUGAGCUGCUCUAGCAAAUUAAUGAACCCAAGGAGGAGAUGAUUGGAAUCUCCAAUCUGUAGCCAGGGGUCAGAAGCACAGGUGACACCCUGGACUUGUGACUGGCAUUUGAAGUGCCUGUAGUGGGGGUAGGCUCAUGGGGCCAAGCCCUGAACCUGUGGGAUCUGAUGCUGUCUCCAGGUUGGUAGUGUAGAAUUGAGCUGAAUUGUAGGACACACAGCUCAUGUUGGUGCAUCAUUUGCCCUCGACCAACAAACAUACAAACGUGUUAGAACUGAAUCAGAAUAGACUGGCAGUGUCAUUUAACUCCACUCUGGACAAUGAGAAAAUUAACUUUUCAAAUCUCUCCCCUGUUCCUUCUUCCAACCUCUAAUAGUUGUUAGUUGUAUAUUUUUUUAGCUUUGUCAAGAUUUAUAAAUAUUUUCAAAAUAACCAUCCCCUCUCAAAUAUCUUAUUUCAGUGGAUGAUUCAGUGCUUACCACUAUUUGUAAUACUACAUUUUCUCUCUUCCUGAGUUCUUUGUUUUAUUUCUAGGUGGUCUAAUUUCAGUAAGAAUAUUCCCUGCUUGAGAACAUCUUUCUGUUGCCCUUAUAAGCUAAGGACAAUGUGGCUAGGUAUAAAAUUAUUGAGUCAAAGUUCUUCUCUUAGGAGUUUUAUGAACAUUGCUCCAGUGGGUUCCUGCACUGAUGUUGUAUUAAUCCUUUUGCUACAGUGUUUCCAUUUUGCCUUGGCUGGGUUUUACCUUCAAACAACUUUUUACCAAAAAAUAAAGAAAACCUCAGAAACAUUGGAUUUCUCCAAAAUUUGAAAAAGACAGCCUAUUGCCUUUAUGCACUGAUAUAAGGAGAAUCAAUAACCAGAAGAAAUCAUCAGAUACAUACAAUACAUUAACUGUUAUGGAGAAUAAAGUAGGCAGGAUGGUGAGAGAAGCUUCAUAGAUAAAAUGAUCUUUGACCAGAGAUUUAAAUGAAAUGAGGGGUCAAACCAUGCAGAUAUUGGAGUUCCCGUUGUGGCUCAGCAGUAAUGAACCCAACUAGUAUCCAAGAGGAGGUGGGUUCAAUCCCUGGCCUUGCUCAGUGGGUUAAGGAUCUGGCUCUACCAUGAGCUGUGGUGUAACAAGCUUUGCUGUGGCUGUGGCAUAGGCUGGCAGCUGCAGCUCCAAUUUGACCCCUAGCUUGGGAAAUUCCAUGGAGUUCCCGUCGUGGCGCAGUGGUUAACGAAUCCGACUAGGAACCACGAGGUUGCAGGUUCGGUCCCUGCCCUCGCUCAGUGGGUUAACGAUCCGGCGUUGCCGUGAGCUGUGGUGUAGGUUGCAGACGCGGCUCGGAUCCCGCGUUGCUGUGGCUCUGGCGUAGGCCGGUGGCUAUGGCUCCGAUUCGACCCCUAGCCUGGGAACCUCCAUAUGCCGCAGGAGCAGCCCAAGAAAUAGC